rnacentral:rRNA from 1 species
CAGUCGCCACGGUAAUACGUAGGGUGCAAGCGUCAAUCGGAAUUACUGGGCGUAAAGCGUGCGCAGGCGGUUCGCUAAGACAGAUGUGAAAUCCCCGGGCUUAACCUGGGAACUGCAUUUGUGACUGGCGGGCUAGAGUAUGGCAGAGGGGGGUAGAAUUCCACGUGUAGCAGUGAAAUGCGUAGAGAUGUGGAGGAAUACCGAUGGCGAAGGCAGCCCCCUGGGCCAAUACUGACGCUCAUGCACGAAAGCGUGGGGAGCAAACAUGAUUAGAUACCCCGGUAGUCCCUGUCUCUUAUAC